UAACCUAGAGUAUGGGAGGGGGAGAUGGAAUUAGUGGUGUAGGGGUAAAAUCCGUAGAUAUCACUAGGAAUACCGAAAGCGAAGGCGAUCUCCUGGAACAAUACUGACGCUAAGGUGUGAAAGCGUGGGGAGCAAACGGGAUUAGAUACCCCGGUAGUCCACGCCCUAAACGAUGAACACUAGUCGUCGGGAUGCUAGUCAUCUCGGUGAUGCACUUAACAGAUUAAGUGUUCCGCCUGGGGAGUACGGUCGCAAGAUUAAAACUCAAAGGAAUAGACGGGGACCCGCACAAGUGGUGGAGCAUGUGGUUUAAUUCGAAGAUACGCGAAGAACCUUACCUAGCCUUGACAUUGAUUGAACGCUUUAGAGAUAGAGUGGUGCCCUUCGGGGAACAUGAAAACAGGUGCUGCACGGCUGUCGUCAGCUCGUGUCGUGAGAUGUUGGGUUAAGUCCCGCAACGAGCGCAACCCUCGUCCUUAGUUGCCAGCAGGUUAAGCUGGGCACUCUAAGGAGACUGCCUUCGCAAGGAGGAGGAAGGUGAGGACGACGUCAAGUCAUCAUGGCCCUUAUGGCUAGGGCUACACACGUGCUACAAUGGGGCGUACAGAGAGUUGCGAUACCGCGAGGUGGAGCCAAUCUCAUAAAGCGUCUCUCAGUUCGGAUUGAAGUCUGCAACUCGACUUCAUGAAGCUGGAAUCACUAGUAAUCGUAGAUCAGCAAUGCUACGGUGAAUACGUUCCCGGGUCUUGUACUCACCGCCCGUCACACCAUGGGAGUUGAUUUCACCCGAAAUUGGGAAGCUAACCUUCGGGAGGCUACCACUUACGG
rnacentral:rRNA from 1 species